rnacentral:lncRNA from 1 species
GAUAUAGCUCAAGAGACAACCACUAGCAAAUCAGAUUACUUACUACCUUUAGAUUGCAUGUGCUAACUUUAAAAUCCAAUAACUCCUUCAUUUAAACUUGGAAUCCAAUAAGCAGUAUAUAAAAAGUAUAGCUACAAAAGUGCUCUCUCUAAUUGCAGUUGCCGAUCAUCAAUUGCUAUCUGUAUGCGUGCGUUAUGCCAAAAAGAAUGAUAGUAGAUCUUUAAUCAAUACCUUAACUUUGAGCGCUUGUAUCUCCUUCAUAUAAACUCCAAACCAUACAAAACUUACACCAAAACCAUAGCCAAAAACCUAAACCUUCUGACUCUAGCCUUCAAAACUUGAAUGGCAUCGAGAAACUAACUCUAAUCUCUAAUAUGGCCUCGGAUAGCCUCCUCAAAGCCCAUUGGUCAUGAUUUUUGAUCAAUAGGAAUGGAGAUUUUUAUUAUUCAUCUCCAUUCAUCUAUAUUGGUGUCUUAAUUACUCCUUUUACUACCAAAAUCCUUCUUCAAUCUUUUUUCUUAUAAGAUUUACAUAAUAUAUGCUCUAAACAUCAAAUAAAAGAACCAAAAGAAGUUUUCAAAGGUCACCAA